ensembl:lncRNA
GCUUUUAAUAGCUCUUUUUAAAUGCACUGCUAAGUUUUUUCCAGCAACUGACAGCCAUAGUAACAUGCAACCACUUCAGGGUGCAUGAUUUACUGAGAUGAACAGAGAAAGGUGGGUGGCCCUUAAUCCACACCUGCAGACUCCCUUGGGAACCAGUAAAGCUAAAGUACUUCAUCUUCUGGGAAGUCUGAUUUCGAGUGCAGCUGGUGUCAUCUCAGUGGAAACUGGAACGUCACGUUGUCAUCAGACCUGCAAAGUGAUGCCCAAACUGUUACCAGGUGUAUUUAAGAAGGGCAUUUGUGAUGGGACAUAACUUGGAACAAGCUAAACGUGGAAAAAAGAAAAGUCUUUUCAGAGAAGCUACGGGAGGAUUUAAAGACAAACUUUCAAGAUGAAUCAGGACCAAAAGUGCUGCCAGGAGGGAUAACGCUAUGGUUAAGGCAUGACUAUACUGUCUUCUCCAAACCUGUUUGGUCCGCUCAUUCCCGCCUGUAACUGCUGGAAAACACACAUGGCUUCUGCUGUUACACAGCAGGUAUAUACAAGGUGAAGCACCUGAAAGUGGCCUUCAACCAACGCAGAGAAUCUCCUGAAAUAGAAGCUGAAAGCAUUUGUUUUCAGUGAUAUGUGGACACUGGAAUAGACUCUUUCUGAAUGCCCAUCAGUUAAAUCUUUCACGUCAGGGAGGUGGAGCUGCAGAAAUGCCCAGCCUGUUGCUACAAGGACAUUACAAACCUCCUCCUCCGUGAACUGCAGCAGUUGGGAAAGGCUCCAGGUUUUCCUAAGGAAACACCACAGUGAUAUACACCUUCAAGCUGGGUGUAACUCUGUCACCACUAAAUCAUGUCAGGCCCCAUACAGGGCAAUCUGUUAAUAGUCUACUGGUUGUAUGAAACUUGCAAAAUUCAAGUGCCACCCAGAAAAUGUUUUGCAAGUGAACGCCGUCUUCAGCUGUUGAGAUUUUCUCCCUUCCUAUGAAACUGCCUAUAAAAGACAUUCCAUGCAUAUUUUAAUGUAUUUACUUACUUAAAUAGACCAAUAAUUGGAGAUUGGGAAAAAUUUCUUCUCAGAAAGAGUGGUGAGGCAUUGGAACAGGCUGCCAGGGAGGUGGUGGAGUCACCAUCCCUGGGGGUGUUCAAGAAGCGCGUGGAUGUGGCACUGAGGGAUGUGGUCAGUGGGCAUGGUGGGAGUGGGCUGACAGUUGGACUUGGGGACCUUAGAGGUCUUUUCCAACCUUAAUGAUUCUAUGAUUCUAUGAAAACUAAACUAAUCCUAAGGAUGAGACCAGCAAUGAGUGUUCCAUCAUUUAAAAAAAAAAAAAAAAAAGGUCGAGAUCAAAGGUUUUUCUGAUGUAUAAUCUUUCUUACCUUCCACUGGACACAAGUGGAAGUGGAUUCUGCUGGGCUUGUAUGGAUUUGUGGGCUAAGGAAAAAUGUUUCUUUUGCUGCCAAAUUUCCAGCCUCAACUGAACUUCUGACUCAGAUAUUCAGACUGCAUUGUAAAUGGCUGGAAAAAAAAAAAAGAAAGAAAGAAAAGGAAAUAUAGCUGACUCCUUAUCUUUUGCUGAGUCUAUUGCCAAUCUCUUUCCAAAGCAUCCUCCGUAACCAUGAGGGCUACUUUAUCAGUACAAUAAAGAGUAACAGGUAUCAGAUGAGGCUUCAAAACCGGAGGUCCUGGCUUUCUUAAAAUAAAGAGCAUUAGUAAGCUACAAUGGAGACCGUUCUUAAUUUGGUUGCUUCCAUUACUUAAAUAGCAGAGGGCACAAAGAGAACAGCAAGUAACAAGCAAUGAGCACACUCCAUGGAUUUUUUAAUUUGCCUUAUUCCUCAGUUCUGAAAGAAGUGAUGAUAAAACUA